UUGACCUCGGAUCAGGUAGGAAUACGCGCUGAACUUAAGCAUAUCAAUAAGCGCAGGAAAAGAAACCAACAGGGAUUGCCUCAGUAACGGCGAGUGAAGCGGCAACAGCUCAAAUUUGAAAUCUGGCCUCUCGGGGUCCGAGUUGUAAUUUGUAGAGGAUGUUUUGGGUACCGCCCCGGUUUAAAUUUCUUGGAACAGAAUGUCAAAGAGGGUGAGAAUCCCGUCUUGGACCGGCGGUAGGGCCUGUGUAAAACUCCUUCGACGAGUCGAGUUGUUUGGGAAUGCAGCUCAAAAUGGGUGGUAAAUUUCAUCUAAAGCUAAAUAUUGGCCAGAGACCGAUAGCGCACAAGUAGAGUGAUCGAAAGAUGAAAAGAACUUUGAAAAGAGAGUUAAACAGUAUGUGAAAUUGUUGAAAGGGAAGCGCUUGCAACCAGACUUGAGCGCGACGGUUCCCCUAGCCUUUUGGCUAGGCUACUCCGUCGUGUCCAGGCCAACAUCGGUUCUGAGGGUCGGUCAAAGGCCCCGGGAAUGUACCUACCCACGGGUAGACUUAUAGACCGGGGUGUCAUGCGGCCUCUCGGGACCGAGGAACGCGCUUCGGCUCGGAUGUUGGCGUAAUGGUUGUCAGCGACCCGUCUUGAAACACGGACCAAGGAGUCUAACAUCUAUGCGAGUGUUUGGGUGUCAAACCCGGAACGCGGAAUGAAAGUGAACGGAGGUAGGAAGCUUCGGCUGCACUAUCGACCGAUCCUGAAGUUUACGGAUGGAUUUGAGUAAGAGCAUAGCUGUUGGGACCCGAAAGAUGGUGAACUAUGCCUGAAUAGGGUGAAGCCAGAGGAAACUCUGGUGGAGGCUCGCAGCGGUUCUGACGUGCAAAUCGAUCGUCAAAUUUGGGUAUAGGGGCGAAAGACUAAUCGAACCAU
rnacentral:rRNA from 1 species